UCCCCAGUGGCUCAAACAGUAAAGAAUCUGCCUGUAAUGCAGGACGCCCAGGUUCUAUCCCUGGGUUGGGAA
rnacentral:tRNA from 1 species